CCACAUAUCAUGUUGAAUGCACCAGUUCUCAUCCAAUAAACCAAAGUUAAGCAACGUUAGUACUUAGUUAGUACCUAGUUAGUACUUAGACGGGUAACUGCUUGGGAAGCCUAGGCGUUGU
rnacentral:rRNA from 1 species